GACGAACGCUGGCGGCGUGCCUAAUACAUGCAAGUCGAACGCUGCUUAAGAAGAAACUUCGGUUUUUUCUUAAGCGGAGUGGCGGACGGGUGAGUAACACGUGGGGAACCUAUCCAUCAGCGGGGGAUAACACUUGGAAACAGGUGCUAAUACCGCAUACGGCUUUUUUUCACCUGAAAGAAAGCUCAAAGGCGCUUUACAGCGUCACUGAUGGCUGGYCCCGCGGUGCAUUAGCCAGUUGGUGAGGUAACGGCUCACCAAAGCAACGAUGCAUAGCCGACCUGAGAGGGUGAUCGGCCACACUGGGACUGAGACACGGCCCAGACUCCUACGGGAGGCAGCAGUAGGGAAUCUUCGGCAAUGGACGCAAGUCUGACCGAGCAACGCCGCGUGAGUGAAGAAGGUYUUCGGAUCGUAAAGCUCUGUUGUCAGCAAAGAACAGGAGAAAGAGGMAAUGCUUUUUCUAUGACGGUAGCUGACCAGAAAGCCACGGCUAACUACGUGC
rnacentral:rRNA from 1 species